UGAUGUAGAGCCAACAUGCCACCCCUUAAAGGUGGGUACCCGAGUUCGAGUCUCGGGUGGCG
rnacentral:tRNA from 1 species